CUGUUUUCAAACCCCUCUCGAGAGUUCGAAUGUCAUGUAAUAAUAGUUACAUAUAAAGUACUGCCAAAAUUAACAAAUCUUUACUAUGAAAGUAGGACUUUCAUUAAAAUUCAAUAAUUCUUUCCAAAAAUAUUUUGCAAAAUGAAUGGAGCAUGAGGAAGGGCCAAGGAAGAAGAGAACCUACGAUUUUGGAAGAAUAUCACCCAUUCACUUUACAUGUCUUGUCCUGAGAUUCUAUUGUUUUUUUCUUCGGAUAUCCUGUCUAUAAAUAAUUUAGGAUCUUGAAUUUUCAUCUCCGAAAUCGCCAUGUG